UCCACUGUGACAGCGGGAGCAUGAUGGGGGCGACGUCCUCUGAUGAACUCCCCUCUGGUUUAGGCCACCGUGAUAGAUGCAUAAACUCCGAAUCUGCUCCUCUGACCUCCUGGCCUGAUCAUCAGGACAGAUGCAUCACUUGGGAACAUAGGAGAAAUGCCGGCUCUCUGGUCUCAAGUCCCACCUCCUGGGUCACAGUUUUAAUACAGGUGCUGCCAAGUGAGCAGAAAAGAAAAAUAAAUGUUCCCAGCCUCUGUGACGGAACCCAGGGCCUUGUGCAUUCUUAGUAAGUGCUUUAUCAUUGAGCUGCACUUCCACUCCUUACUUGGAUUAUUUUAAACACCUUAAUUUCCCAUAUAUCUCACCACUUGUUUUCUUCGGGGCCUCACACGUUUGCUAUGUUCUCCAGCCUGAGUUUCUUGCCCCUGACCAUGCACAAGUUUUCAGGUGCUCUGAGCUUCCGUGGGCUACAGCGCCAGCCAUACCCUUCAGUGGCCGCCAACCUGUGCCCUGGAACCCGUGCCACGGCUCUAGUCAGCUCCUGGGGUCAGAAAGACAGAAACCAGCGUCUGUGAGAACAACAGCCCAUGCUGAGUGCUGCGGCAAAGGGGAAAGCUUUGCCUUUGUGUCCCAUUCUGAAGGAGGGCAGGGCAGUGGGGCGACCUCCUCCCUCCCAUACCAGAGCUCUAGAAACCUGCUUCGGUGUGUAUAUUGCUGCACAUCUGCUGCUUGCCCCAGGGAGUUCCCAGUUUCCAUUCGAGACCUUCUCCUGGACCUGCCUCAUCACCAUCCUGCUGACUUCACUCCUGAGCCUCUGAGCAUAUUUAAGUCCGGGUUAAGUCUUUGUCUAGCAAGUCCCCUGCUUGGGCUCCCUCAGGCAAGACACAUGGCCCUAUUUUGUCCCUGUGAAUAGGUAGGUCCUACAUGUCUGCCUCUGUACACAUCUUAUGAUUUUGAUGUUGCUACUGCUGUUGAAAUCAAGCAUGUUUAAAAACUGCAUGUUUAAAAACUGGAAAAUAAAUAUUUAUAAGUAUUAUAAUGUGGUAAUUAUGAUAGUAAUUUUUCCUCUGCUAUUUUUUCCUUUAAAAUAAAUUGAAAGUUGUAAUAGUCCAUAACUUGCUCCAAUCGUUUCUGCAGAGGAUGUAUUAUUUAUCCUGUGCAAUCACUGAGGAUUCUGUCUGUUGGUCUGUGUCCAGGCAGAGUCUGACAGAUACUUUUCUGAACAACAUGAGUUGCACAGUCAAACUAAACUGCCAAGAGCGCUGCCCCCUGUCUGCGCAUGUGCUGGGGAUCGUGAAUAUGCAGCCAGGUUUGCCCUGAUCCUUGAGAUCACCACAAAGUGAGGGUUUAAAUUUUUCUCACAUCUGUCUAAGCCUGGGCUUUACCUGGGCAUGUGGGUGAAUUUCUUCAUUACUCAGUAGACCAGUGUUCUGAGUUCCCCAACUUCCUGAAGUAAUUCCUUCCUUAGCUUUUCUUCUCAGACUUUAUUUGUCUAUCUUUUGUGUCAACAAUAAUGUGUUGCUUUUGUACCUUAAAACGUCUGGAACCACUCUGCUUUCCUGCCUGCACUCUUUCUCAGUUAGGAAACCGGAGCACUGUGUGAGACAUUCCGCACCUACAGAGAACUCGUCCACCAACACAGUUACUAAAUAAGGUUCUGCUAGGUCCCGUCAAAAGCUAGGGACCGGAAGCCCAGGGCCCUGAGAACACCACCUAUGAUCAUGAAGCCUUCUACAGGAUCUGUGAAGGGUCAAGUAAGCAAAGACAUUAUUUACUAAAGACCCCUACAUAUUUUCCACUUUCUCACACCUGAUUUGGGCUAAAAUAUAUACACAAACAAA